CCUGCGGGUCGGAGGUGGGCUCCCCGCAGGCUCCAGACUCGGCCAGUUAGCGGGGCAGACAGCAAGGUGUCGGGUGGGGACCUAGGUGUGAGUGUUAUGUACCUGUACGCACCGUCCCUUCGGUGUGGUGGGCUGAGAUCCAGGAAAGGGCUGUGCCAAGAAAACAUUAACGAUAACCAAAUUUACGUGCAAAUGCUCUUUUAAGUGCUUGACUCCUCAAGACAUCUCCACCAGAAAAAAUUACCAUUGCUGUGCACCUUUACGGAGUAAACAAGACAGGUUCGAGAAAAGGCCCGUGAGUGGUGGAACACAGGCUUGGUGGAAUUAUACUGGUCAGCAAAAGCUUCCUGGAAGAAGAGGGUAAUCUACACACUCAACAUGGGGCUUAGAUUCCUGUCGCAGAGAUCAAACGUGGAGCUUGAACUCAUCAUCAGAGAUGGCGAGUGCAUGAUACUCUACCCACUGAACCAGCCAGGUGCCAUUCCUCCACCCCAUCCAAGAAGAGGUUCUAAAUUGAGAUCUGCAGGGGGCUAGGAGGGCAGAAUUAACUAGAUAGAGUGGGGAGAGGGUUGGACGCAGAUAAUAUAGUUCAUGGCAAUGAUAAGGUGUUUGGAGUCCAUCCUAAGAGGGCUGGGGCCCUUUAAAGGUUUUAAGCACUUCAGGUGCUUGAAACCUAGUCCAUUUCGGCCCAGGUCUUGAUCUCAUGGGUCUUGACAUCAAGCCCCUAGCAUGGGCUCCAUACUCAGCUGGGAGUUUGCUUAAG